UGAGAACAUUGGAAUCAAAAUGGGGACCAAUGAAGAAAUAGAUCCAGCCCAGGCAUUAGAACAUAAACUGUUCAGUCGGAAUAUGGCUAUGGAUGAAAUCACUGCACGCGGAGACUCGGCCGUGCAGCAGUUCUACUGCGGCGCCACCGUGUUCGUGACAGGCGGCUCCGGCUUCCUCGGCAAGCAGCUCGUAGAGAAACUCUUCAGGUGAGGGAUAUUUGUCAGGCCGUGGAGACUCGGCCGUGCAGCAGUUCUACUGCGGCGCCACCGUGUUCGUGACAGGCGGCUCCGGCUUCCUCGGCAAGCAGCUCGUAGAGAAACUCUUCAGGGCCACAAAAGUAGCAAAAGUCUUCAUUCUGUUGAGACCAAAGAAAGGAAAACAGAUGCUGGAGAGACUUCAGGAAAUGUUACAGGAUCCCGUUUUCGAUAUUCUUCGGGACACACAGCCAGACUUCAUCGACAAACUAGUACCAAUAGCUGGUGACGUAGCUGACAUGAGACUGGGCAUCAGCGAUAAAGACUGGGACACUAUUACAGAUGAG